rnacentral:rRNA from 1 species
UACGUAGGGUGCGAGCGUUGUCCGGAAUUAUUGGGCGUAAAGGGCUCGUAGGCGGUUUGUCGCGUCGGGAGUGAAAACGCCGUGCUUAACACGGCGCUUGCUUUCGAUACGGGCAGACUAGAGGUAUUCAGGGGAGAACGGAAUUCCUGGUGUAGCGGUGAAAUGCGCAGAUAUCAGGAGGAACACCGGUGGCGAAGGCGGUUCUCUGGGCCGAAAUUGACGCUGAGGAGCGAAAGCGUGGGGAGCAAACAGG